rnacentral:rRNA from 1 species
CACACGACUCUCGGCAACGGAUAUCUCGGCUCUCGCAUCGAUGAAGAACGUAGCGAAAUGCGAUACCUGGUGUGAAUUGCCGAAUCCCGCGAACCAUCGAGUCUUUGAACGCAAGUUGCGCCCGAGGCCACUCGGCCGAGGGCACGCCUGCCUGGGCGUCACGC